rnacentral:rRNA from 1 species
GACGAACGCUGGCGGCGUGCCUAAUACAUGCAAGUAGGACGCAGUUGCGAACGGGUGAGUAAAGCGUAGGUAACUACCUAUUAGAGGGGGAUAACUAUUGGAAACGAUAGCUAAUACCGCAUACUAGUAGAUGGACCUGCGUUGUAUUAGCUAGUAGGUAGGGUAAAGGCCUACCUAGGCAACGAUACAUAGCCGACCUGAGAGGGUGAGCGGCCAAGCUGGGACUUAGAGACGGCCCAGACUCCUACGGUAGGCAGCAGUAGGGAAUCUUCGGCAAUGGGGGGAAUCCUGACCGAGUAAAGCCGCGGGAGUGAAGAAGGUUUACGGAUCGUAAAGCUCUGUUGUGAAGGAAGCGGAACGUAACCAGAAAGGGAAGGCUAACUACGUGCCAGCAGCCGCGGUAAUUC